rnacentral:rRNA from 1 species
CCUACGGGUGGCAGCAGUGGGGAAUAUUGCACAAUGGGCGAAACCCUGAUGCAGCAACGCCGCGUGAAUGAAGACGGCCUUCGGAUUGUAAACUUCUGUUCUUAGUGAAGAAUAAUGACGGUAGCUUACGAUCACGCCUCGGCUAACUACGGGCCAGCAGCCGCGGUAAUACGGAGGUGGCAAGCGUUGUCCGGAAUUACUGGGUGUAAAGGGAGCGCAGGCGGGAGGCCAAGUCAGCUGUGAAAACUACGGGCUUAACUUGUAGACUGCAGUUGAAACUGGUUUUCUUGAGUGAAGUAGAGGUGGGCGGAAUUCCGGGUGUAGCGGUGAAAUGCGUAGAGAUUCGGAGGAACACCGGUGGCGAAGGCGGCCAACUGGGCGUUAACUGACGCUGAGGCUCGAAAGUGUGGGGAGCAAACAGGAUUAGAUACCCUGGUAGUC